rnacentral:rRNA from 1 species
GACGAACGCUGGCGGCGUGCCUAAUACAUGCAAGUCGAACGCAGUUGCGCAAGGGUGAGUAACGCGUAGGUCACUUCCUAUUAGAGGGGGAUAACUAUUGGAAACGAUAGCUAAUACCGCCUACUCGGCGAUGGACCUGAGUUGUAUUAGCUAGUAGGUAAGGUAAUGGGCUAACUAGGAGACGAUGCAUAGCCGAGCUGAGAGUGUGAUGUGCCCAACGGGGACUGGGAGCCGGCCCAGAUGCCUACGGUAGGGAGGAGUACGGAAUCUGCGGAAAUGGGGGGAAACCUUACCUAGCAACACCGCGUGGAUGAAGAGGGGUUUCGGUACGUAAAGCUGUGUUGUUGAGGAAGCGGUACUUAACCAGAAAGGGACGGCAAACUACGUGCCAGCAGCCGCGGUAAUAC